AAUUCUCAACCUUCAACACUUUUGUGAAGAAGGCUUGGACUUGGAGGUCGUGUUGGCUUGCAAAGGUCGACUCCUCUGAAAUAUAUUAGUGCGAACCGUACGGAUCGCUUCGGUGUGAUAAUUGUCUACGCCGUGGUGUUGAAGUAUAGCAGUGUUCGGGCUUCUAACCGUCUGCAAGGACAACUUUCUGACA
rnacentral:misc_RNA from 1 species